UCCUCUGCUUUUAUGUAAGCCGCGUGUGCUUCUCCCGAGCAGCCCGUAACCAGUCCGCUGUGCGAGCAGCCCGAGGUUGGGGACCCCCUGGGUUUUGCCUGCUCAUCAGUGACCUGAGAGCUGGACGUCUUUGCUGGUGUUUUCUCUCAUUCACUCCACCUUUAUCAAACACCCGUGCCAGCCAGCACGCACACCGAGCUCCGACGGUAGGCAAGGACGGAUAAAUCCCGCUCACAGAGCUGACAUCCUAGAGGAGGGGACAGGCAGCAAUAUGUGGUGGAAAUGCAGUGUUUCUCAGAAGGGGGCGGGGCAGUAGUGAAUGAUGCAUAAGCAACUCUAAUGAGAAAACCACGUCUGAUGAGAAGGUAGUCAGGAGGGAGCCGUGGACGAUCCGGGCAGGCUGGCCGCUGGGAGGGAAGCCCAGAGGUGCAGCCUCUGCUCCUGCUGGAGAAGGGUCUGCCUGGGAAGGAUGCUGGCCCACAGGAAAGCAGAGGUGAGGCACAGAGAGCAACUCCUGAAGACGUGGUUUGUGCGUUGAGGU